rnacentral:rRNA from 1 species
UACGUAGGGUGCGAGCGUUGUCCGGAAUUAUUGGGCGUAAAGAGCUCAUAGGCGGCUCGUUGCGUCGGCUGUGAAAACCCGCAGCUCAACUGUGGGCUUGCAGCUGAUACGGGCGGGCUGGGAUUCGGUAGGGGAGACUGGAAUUCCUGGUGUAGCGGUGAAAUGCGCAGAUAUCAGGAGGAACACCGGUGGCGAAGGCGGGUCUCUGGGCCGAUAUCGACGCUGAGGAGCGAAAGCGUGGGGAGCGAACAGG